AAAGGUCUAUGAUUAAAGUAUUGGGAGAGACGGUAACCAUGCAUGAUCUAUUACGAGACAUGGGAAGGGAGGUCGUUCGUGAAUCGUCUCCAAAAGAACCUGGAUAGAGGACCAGAAAUUGGAAUCAAGAGGAUGCAUGGAAUGUGCUUGAGCAGCUGAAGGUAAAAAAAAAUAGUCAUGGAACACUUGACUGAUCAAAGAAAAAAAAUUAUUUAUUUUCUCUUAUUGAGUUCCAUAGUUUAAACUUUCUCGUUACACAUAAUUUUUAGUUUGGUAUAUAUAUUCUACUGUUUUUUAUAAUCUUUAUAUUUAUAUUUUUAAAUAUAAGUACACAUAGCAUCAUUUGAAUCUUUUGAUUGAAAGUAAAAGCUUUAUCUCGUAAAAUCAUCUCUAGAAGGUUUUAUUUGGUCAAUCUUCAAAAACUUAGGGAUUAAAAAAAAAAAACUUCUUACUUGAUUCAAUUUGGAAACCUCAAGGAGAAAAUUGAAACAAGUAUAACCUCACGGGGAGAAGUUGAAUUCUCCCCAAACUCAGGGGUUAAUUAAAAUUAACCUUUAAAUUUCUAUCCAUGCCCAGUUGCCCACGAAAGAGAAGAGGUACAUCCACGUGAAGCUCAUUUUGGGUUUGGGUUAGUUGAAAAUAUCUAGUGGGUGGGCCUUUUUUCUGUUUUUCUGUUUUUUUUUUGUUUUUAUGCACAGAAUACAUGAAAUAAUAAAUUUAAAUCCAACAAAUCCAAUAGAGAUAUAAUAUUGUAUACGAUCAACAUGAAAGAAUUUUACGAAAAGACAUGAAAAUAUCAUAUAUUAUGUGUCUCUGCCAGUCAUAAUUGUAUUGUUUUGUGUAUUAUCAAUUAUCUUUCUUGUAUAGGAAAUAUCAUGUUGGAUUUUGCUGAUGACAAACUUAAUCCUAGAGAUUGCAUCUGCGGUUUUUGACCAGACGGGUUAUGCAUUAAUUGGCAUGGUGUUGGCAUUUGUAGCUUUGCUUCUUGCUGCCGUUGAACUCAUUCACAUGGCUCGAAAGGAAAGAACUAAACGGGUGGGCCUAUUGCCACCUUUUAUUCUCCAUGCAACUAGAAAGCCUGUUGGCUGGUGCUGUCUGGCAAUGUGUUUAUUCGACUGUGGAGUAUAUGUAUACUCGUCAGAAGAAAGAUAAUCCAAUUAAGAUGUGUCUUUUACCUUUCAUUUUCUUAUUAUGCGUGGCGAUUUCCAAAUUAUUAGUCGACAAGAGUUCCGUUGUAAAUAGUUCUUAGCAAUAGUAUUUUCUUUGAACUAGAAGGAAUUUCUAGUAUUGUGUUCUAAGGACUCUUUUUAGUGGGAAUGAGUCAAAGAUUUUGAUUCCUAGAUUUUCUUAUCGAAGACCCAGACUUGUAAUGCAAUUAAGACACUAUAUUUUAGACAGUGAGCAUGAGUUGAUGUGGACAAUCUAGCUAUUAUUGAUAUGCGGUUCAGUAACCUCAAAUAACUAUGAAAGGAAAAAACUGUCAUUCACUGAUUUAAUUGGAAAUUAUUUGCGAGAAAGCUAAAAAGAAUUAGAGUUUUUUAAUUUAUAAAAUUAUAAUUCUAAAUUCUAAAAAAAAUUCAAUUAUUUUUAAAAUUAUUUUAAAAAAUAAAACAUCAACUAUUUAUAUAAUAGCUAAAUAAAUCUAUUAAAAUAAAUUGAAAAUAACUAGUAAAAUCAAGCAAAUAAUUCAAAAAUAAUAAGAAAAUAAAUAUAUUUCCUAGAUCUAAUUUGAGUAUAUUUUUUAUCUUGAUUGACUGACUUGUCAAGUCUUUAUUCCGUAUAAACAAAUUUUAUUCUAAAAGUCUGUUUGAUAUUUCUUCACUUAUCUAUGAAAUAUUACUUCUACUGUACAGAAUAGAAAUAAAAAUUAGAUGAUAAUAUUUAUUCUAAAAGUCUUCGUUAAGGAUAAAUGAACUUUAUUCUAAGAGUUUGUUUGAUAUUUUUUUAUUUAUUAAUGAAAUAUUACUUCUACUGUAUAGUUAUUGGGUUCCGAGUCGAUCCACCGGGUCAAUAGGCGAACAGUAUAUUCUUUGAAUUUAUUAGAAGAAAUGUGUAAUGUAAAUUAUAAAAAAUAUUUAUUUUUCUGAUAUAUAUAAUAAUAAUAAAUUAGAUGAUUGUCACACCCGACAUCGCGGCGACCUUAAAAAUUUAAUUCUUUGGAAAAGAACAGAUUUCUGGCAUCCUAUUCUUUAAUGGGGAUAUUCUUUGUUUAAGGAGUCGCCACCUAGUAUUAUGGUCACUAGGAACCCUAACUGGUCAACAGAGAGUCUACGGUUUGGGACUGGUUACGUAAAAGGGAAGAUAUUAUCACCCCUUAAACGUCCUGCCUGAGGCAGGCUGCACUGCUAGUUUUAUCUUUAAUUGCUAAAUGUUUAUUAGUUUACGAUAUGAUAAUUUACUUAUAAUAUUCCCGACUCUGGCGUCAGUGAAUAUUAAACUACGAAUACUUCCAACUCUGGCGUUGGUCAAUAUCACGUAGCUAUAAAAUAAAUUAGAUUAAUAUUUUUUAUUUUCCCGGCUCUAGCGCCAGUGAAUAAAUAAACAAAAUAAAAUUUGAUUUUUUUACGCAUGCAUAUUUUUUUAUUUUUUUUAGCUAAAUAAAAUAAAGUACAACAAAUAAAAAUAAUAUAAAUUUAAACCGGUAUUUUUAUUCCUGACUCUGGCGUCAGUGAAUAAACCAAUAAAUUUACAUUAUUUUUAUUCAUCUAAAUAAAUUUAAUUUUUUACGCAUGCACAUUUUUUAUUUUUUAGCUAAAUAAAAUAAAGUACAACAAAUAAAAAUAAUAUAAAUUUAAACCGGUGUUUUUUAUUCCUGACUCUGGCGCCAGUGAAUAAACCAAUAAAUUUACGUUAUUUUUAUUCAUCUAAAUAAAUUUAAUUUUUUACGCAUGCACAGUUUUUAUUUUUUAGCUAAAUAAAAUAAAGUACAACAAAUAAAGAUAAUAUAAGUUUAAACCGGUAUUUUUAUUCCUGACUCUGGCGCCAGUGAAUAAACCAAUAAAUUUACAUUAUUUUUAUUCAUCUAAAGAAAAUAAAAUACAACGAAUAAAAAUAAUAUAAAUUUAAACCGGUAUUUUAUUCCUGACUCUGGCGUCAGUGAAUAAACCAAUAAAUUUACAUUAUUCUUAUCCAUACAUGCAUAUUUUUUUAUUUUUUAUUUUUCUGCCUUUUAUUUUUUUAUUUUUUUUAUUAUAUAUUUUUUUAACUGGGCGGGGCCCGGCCCGGCCCAGAAAAAAAAAAAUUGGGGGCUGGGCCCAGCGCAGCCCACAUGGACUGGGCUGGACCCAGCCAGCCCAGCCCGGUCACUGGCCCAAGCCAGUGACCCGGCUGGGUAAAAACUAAAGGCACGCGUGACUUAUUCACGCGUGCCCGAACACUGGUGAAGGUAAUUAAAUUACCUUCACACAGUGUUCUUGCAGCACAUAAUUAUCUUUUGAAAUGAAAAUGCAGAGGAGACGGGGUCAUACCUGCUUCUGGAGACCGAAGAUGCUGCUUCUGGAGACCGAAGAUGUUGCUUCUGGAGACUGAGAUGCUUGCAGCGCUGCUUGAUGAUUUUCGCCUAAUGUU
rnacentral:lncRNA from 1 species